UAACCUACUCUAGCCCGACACAAUUUUCCUACUACCACUAUAAAAAUAAACCUUUCUCCCCUACUAAAUCAUUUUCAUUCUUAGUAUAGGCGAUAGAACAGAACUCGUUGGCGCUAUAGAAAUCUGUACCGCAAGGGAAAGAUGAAAUAAUAAUGAAAACCCAAGUCUAAAACAGCAAAGAUUUACCCUUGUACCUUUUGCAUCAUGGUCCAGCAAGAAACCAACCAAGCAAAGCGAACUUAAGCUUGCCACCCCGAAACCUGAGCGAGCUACUUACAAGCAGCUAAUUUUUGAGCGAACCCGUCUCUGUUGCAAAAGAGUGGGAUGACUUGUUAGUAGCGGUGAAAAGCCAAACGAGCCAGGUGAUAGCUGGUUGCUUGUGAAAUGAAUCUAAGUUCACCCCUGAUUACUUCCCAUAAGUGCACAACCCCAAUCUUUCAUAUAAAUACUCAGGAGUAAUUUAAAGGAGGUACAGCUCCUUUAAAAAAGGAUACAACCUCUCCCAGCGGAUAACCAAUUAAUCCCACUUAACUGUUGGCCUUCAAGCAGCCACCACCAAAGAGUGCGUCAAAGCUCCACUCAAAAAAUAUAUAAUCAACGUGAAUCCCUCAUCACUAACAAGCCAACCUAUAAACAUAGGAGAAUUAAUGCUGAAAUAAGUAACUUGGAUCACUCCUCUCAAGCGCAAACUUACAUUCCAACAUUAUUACCCAAAACACCAUGAUAUCAACACCCUCUCACAAGAUUUUAUAUCCUAAACUCUUGUUAAACCCACUCAGGAGCGCUCAAUUAGAAAGACCUAAACUUGUAGAAGGAACUAGGCAAACCUAAGGCCCGACUGUUUACCAAAAACAUAGCCUUCAGCAUACCAAGUAUUGAAGGUGACGCCUGCCCAGUGACUAUAUGUUCAACGGCCGCGGUAUCCUAACCGUGCAAAGGUAGCGCAAUCAAUUGUCCCAUAAAUCGAGACUUGUAUGAACGGCUAAACGAGGUCUUAACUGUCUCCUACAAAAGGCCAGUGAAAUUGAUCUCCCUGUGCAAAAGCAGGGAUAAAAACAUUAGACGAGAAGACCCUGUGGAACUUAAAAAUCAAAGGCCACCACACAUCUACCCUAAACCUACCAGGCUCUCCAGUUAUACACCCAUUGGCCUUCAUUUUUUGGCUGGGGCGGCCCUGGAGAAAAACAAAACCUCCAGAAAUAAGACUUACAUCUUAACCUAGAGCAACCCCUCAACGUACUAACAGUUACCAGACCCAGUACAACUGAUUAAUGAACCAAGCUACCCCAGGGAUAACAGCGCAAUCUCCUUCAAGAGCCCAUAUCGACAAGGAGGUUUACGACCUCGAUGUUGGAUCAGGACACCCUAAUGGUGCAGCCGCUAUUAAGGGUUCGUUUGUUCAACGAUUAAUAGUCCUACGUGAUCUGAGUUCAGACCGGAGCAAUCCAGGUCGGUUUCUAUCUAUGACAGAUUUUUCCUAGUACGAAAGGACCGGAAAAAUAAGGCCUAUACUACCAGCAUGCCUUCCCCUCAAACAAUGAAUCCAACUCAAUUGUUAAGAGGACUAAACAUAACCAUCCUAAAAAAGGACAG
rnacentral:rRNA from 1 species